CACUGAGAAGCUUUGUAUUCAGCAUUAGCCUUUUAAGCUAAAGAAGGAGUAUAAUACUCCCUCAAUGA
rnacentral:tRNA from 1 species